UACGUAGGGGGGCUAGCGUUUGUCCGGAAUCAUUGGGCGUAAAAGCGCGUGUAGGCGGUCCGGUAAGUCCGCUGUGAAAAGUCGGGGGGGCUCAACCCUCGGAUGCCGGUGGAUACUGUCGGGCUUGAGGUACGGAAGAGGCGAGUGGGAAAUUCCUGGUGUAGCGGUGAAAAUUGCGGCAGGAUAUCAAGGAGGAACACCCAAAUUGCG
rnacentral:rRNA from 1 species